AAGCUGCAACAGUGAUAGUGUAAUGCCAGUCAUAUCAUUUAUUUGUUAUUUCUUUAUUCUCCCAGUCUUUCUCCACACCAACCUUCCAGAUAUCUCCAUGAAACUUCCACCCUGCUUCUGACAUUUGUUCUCUAAUCUAUGAAGGUCAACUCCUAUGUCUUCAGUCUUCCAUUCUUUUUCUGGGAUUUCUGCAGACUUCAUGUUGCCACCUUAACUGAAGAAAAAAAAUGGCUCUGCAAUUUUCCUAAGGAUAAAAGCCACUGCUUGGACAGCUCCUACCAGUCUCCCAUCCAGGAUCCUGGAGCACAAACCCUCAGCCAUUUGGAGAAAUUAAAAGCUUCUAUGCUCACAAUACUCCUGGACAAAAGGAACUGAUACAGGAUAAAAUAAGCAGAACCAGGAAAAAUUGUACAAUGAUUAAAUGUGGAAACUUGCUUUUUCUCAACAAUGCAAUGAUCUGGGACAAUCCUGAAAGAACUGUUAGAGUUGGAUGAAUGUGGAUGAAAGCAUACUAUUAUUCACAUCAGUGUACUUAUGGUUAUAUUUUGGAAUUUUUCUUCUGUCUUAGUGUGAUUUUACAACAAUGAGCGAUAUUGAAAUAUGCUUUGCAUGAUAAUAAAUAUAAAAAAUUUAAAAAUAGUUAAAAUAUU
rnacentral:lncRNA from 1 species